rnacentral:rRNA from 1 species
UACACACCGCCCGUCGCUACUACCGAUUGAAUGGCUGAGUGAGGCCUUCGGACUGGCCCAGGGAGGUCGGCAACGACCACCCAGGGCCGGAAAGUUGGUCAAACUCCGUCAUUUAGAGGAAGUAAAAGUCGUAACAAGGUUUCCGUAGGUGAACCUGCGGAAGGAUCAUUAAAGAGUAAGGGUGCUCAGCGCCCGACCUCCAACCCUUUGUUGUUAAAACUACCUUGUUGCUUUGGCGGGACCGCUCGGUCUCGAGCCGCUGGGGAUUCGUCCCAGGCGAGCGCCCGCCAGAGUUAAACCAAACUCUUGUUAUUAAACCGGUCGUCUGAGUUAAAAUUUUGAAUAAAUCAAAACUUUCAACAACGGAUCUCUUGGUUCUCGCAUCGAUGAAGAACGCAGCGAAAUGCGAUAAGUAAUGUGAAUUGCAGAAUUCAGUGAAUCAUCGAAUCUUUGAACGCACAUUGCGCCCCUUGGUAUUCCGAGGGGCAUGCCUGUUCGAGCGUCAUUACACCACUCAAGCUAUGCUUGGUAUUGGGUGCCGUCCUUAGUUGGGCGCGCCUUAAAGACCUCGGCGAGGCCACUCCGGCUUUAGGCGUAGUAGAAUUUAUUCGAACGUCUGUCAAAGGAGAGGAACUCUGCCGAUUGAAACCUUUAUUUUUCUAGGUUGACCUCGGAUCAGGUAGGGAUACCCGCUGAACUUAAGCAUAUCAAUAAGCGGAGGA